CUUUUCUCAAUACUCGGCUACAAAUGUGCUGUUACUGGUUUCUACUGGUUCAAUUUUUUUUAACACCCCUGUACAGUUUAGGCAUUGCUUCGACAUGGUGAUGCGUUACAUUACAUUCAAAUCAUUACAAGGCUAAUACAAGGCAUUUGGUAGUUAAAUUUUAUAGUUUGAUUACUGUUCAUAUAUCUCACUUAACAGUAGCCUUGUGUUUCCCACAUUUCCUUGGCCAUAUGACGUUCUCCUUCAAUUUGUGGGGAGGAGAGGGUUUUGAGGAAGAAAUUAAUGUAAUAAGUUACAAAGUUUUAUUAAAUAUGAAA